rnacentral:rRNA from 1 species
GUGCCAGCCGCCGCGGUAAUACGUAGGGUACGAGCGUUGUCCGGAAUUAUUGGGCGUAAAGAGCUCGUAGGUGGUUGGUCACGUCUGCUGUGGAAACGCAACGCUUAACGUUGCGCGUGCAGUGGGUACGGGCUGACUAGAGUGCAGUAGGGGAGUCUGGAAUUCCUGGUGUAGCGGUGAAAUGCGCAGAUAUCAGGAGGAACACCGGUGCGAAGGCGGGACUCUGGGCUGUAACUGACACUGAGGAGCGAAAGCAUGGGGAGCGAACAGGAUUAGAUACCCUGGUAGUCCAUGCCGUAAACGUUGGGCACUAGGUGUGGGGGGGACAUUCCACGUUCUCCGCGCCGUAGCUAACGCAUUAAGUGCCCCGCCUCGGGGAGUACGGUCGCAAGGCUAAAACUCAAAGGAAUUGACGGGGCCCGCACAAGCGGCGGAGCAUGCGGAUUAAUUCGAUGCAACGCGAAG